rnacentral:rRNA from 1 species
UUAUGGCUCAGGAUGAACGCUGGCGGCGUGCUUAACACAUGCAAGUCGAACGGUUAAACCGCCUUCGGGCGGACAUAGAGUGGCGAACGGGUGAGUAACACGUGACCAACCUGCCCCGCGCACCGGGACAGCCCCCCGAAAGGGGGAUUAAUACCGGAUACUCCGGCGGCCCCCGCAUGGGGCGGCCGGGAAGGCUCCGGCGGCGCGGGAUGGGGUCGCGGCCCAUCAGGUAGUAGGUCGGGUAGAGGCCGACCUAGCCGACGACGGGUAGCCGGGUUGAGAGACCGACCGGCCACAUUGGGACUGAGAUACGGCCCAGACUCCUACGGGAGGCAGCAGUGGGGAAUAUUGCGCAAUGGGGGAAACCCUGACGCCAGCAACGCCGCGUGCGGGAUGACGGCCUUCGGGUUGUAAACCGCUUCCAGCAGGGAAGACAUCGACUGUACCUGCACAAGAAGCCCCGGCUAACUACGUGCCAGCAGCCGC